GGGCCCAAAAAGUAAACAAAAGAAAAACUUCUAUCCACACUCCUUCAAGUUACUAAAAAGAUCAAACAUUGUUCAUCAUCAUUAUUACUACCCACACCACUGCUACUCCCGAGGGUGAGUGACUGCUUCGGGUUACCGUGCGAGCGAGAGCAUAGCAUUUCCCCCUUUACAGUACGUCACAAGCCGUUACUCUCUCUCUCUCUCUCUCUCUCUCUCUCUCUCUCUCUCUCUCUCUCUCUCUCUCUCUCUCAAUUUGCGAAUCACCAGAAAAGCGUCAUCGCACACCGCAGGGUUCCGAUUUUUCAUUCAACCGCGAGUUUAACUCUCUGAUGAUACAAAAGUGUAAAUCCACCGCAUAAAAGGAACGAUUAUUUAUCAAUUUUCAAUAUUCACUUGAAAACCUAGGGUUCAUAUACCAAUGGAAGAUUUGAGGUUAGGGACAACGAAGAAGAAGAAGAGAUCUAAACCGAUUGAAAUUGGUUUUGAUUCUGAUAAUGAUGAACCAAUUGGUUCAUUGCUUAAGUUUAAGAAGAAUAAGAAGGCUGAGAAUUCUAGGGUUCUUGAUGAUAAUGAUACUUUGGCUAGUUUUAGGAAGAGGUUGAAGGGUCCAAAGAGAGAUCAUGGAUCUGAAACUGUGUCUGCUUUGAAUGUUUCUGUUGAGGGUUGUGAUGAUGAUGGUUUGGUUGAAGGAGGAUCUGGGAGGAAGGAUGAGGAAGGGGUGGAUUUAGGUGUUGGUGAUGAUGACAUGCAGGUGCAUCAUUCUUCUGAUCAGCAUAUGGAAGAAUCGUUGUCUAUGAUAUUUAAUAAGUCACAAUCUAGUUCUGUUAAGAAAUCUAGGGCUGGGUUAGGUUCAAAGAAGAAAAGAGGGAAUCAGAAUGUGGAUAGUGGGUUGGAACAUGGAUGCAAUAGUUUGACAGAAAAUGUUGAUUCUGUGAUUGAAAGUAGAUCUGGAUCUGCUUUUGUGUUGAAAUCGGUUGAGAGGAAUCAUGAAUCUGAUAUGUUUUGUUCAGUAUCUGCAAUGGACGAUCAAAAGGGCAGUGAUGACUAUUUUCAAGAGGAGAAGGUGAAGGGUAUUUGUGAUUCAAACAAUCCAGAUGGGUUGUCGUUUGAUCACUCUAAACGAAUCAUUGACUGCGAUGGAGAUAGGCAGCAAUUGUCAAGUGUACAUGUCAAAGAUGUUUGUGGCGCUUCUGACGAAAAGGUUGCAUUGCAGGAAAGAAUGCUAGAUAAUAGUUUGAAUCAGCGUUCUGCCAUGUUACAAGAUGUUGAAAUAAUUGAUACUGCCUCUCCAUCUAAACUGGGGGAAAGGGUAUGUGGAUUUUCCGAGACUGGAGAGCUUGAGAAUAAGUUAACCGAUGAAAUAGCAGAAAAACAAGUGUGUAAUGGUGCUUCUGGAAUGUUUUCCUCAAUCAAUGGAGGUAUAAAAUUGGAAGCUGAGUUUGUUUCUGGUCAAAAUUGUUAUGAUUACAGUACAUCAGAUACAAAUGCUGAAGUUCAAGAUGUUGUUGUAGGCCGUUCACCUGAAAAACAUGAUGCAAUUGUCAGUGGUUGUUUAUCCUCUAUUGUCCCUAACGGCGCCAAUGAAUCUGAAUUUAUUGUCCAGUCGAAUCACCCAGACAAACCUUUGGAAAUGUGUAAUAUUCCAAAAGACUCCACUGUUUCAAUUCUGAAAUGCAGCUCUGUGUUAGAUCCAACUCAAUCUGAUGGAUCCUCUAUACAAUCUUCAAUUCCAGAUGAAAAUGGAAACAUUGCAGAAUAUAAUGCCUCUGUGUCUGAUUUUACUGACAAUGGUGGAAAGAUAUCAGGCAUUCCUCGUGCACCACGAAAGACUAAAAUGAAUAAGCAUGGCGACAUGACUUAUGAGGGUGAUGCUGAUUGGGAGAUUUUAAUAAAUGAUAAAUCCCUAAAUGAAAGCCAAUAUGGUGCUGAUGGUGAACCUACUCUUAGAACAAGAGGGAAGCAGGACUCCUCUUUGAAUGCUGUUGAGGACUCUGAAAAUGUUGCAGUAGCGGCAGUAUCUGCUGGGCUGAAAGCUUGUGCAGUUGGUCCAAUUGAGAAAAUAAAAUUUAAGGAGAUCUUGAAGCGAAAAGGUGGUCUCAAGGAAUAUUUAGAUUGCAGGAAUCAGAUCUUAAGCCUAUGGAGCAGUGAUGUUGCACGUAUUUUGCCCCUUGCUGAAUGUGGAGUUAGCGAUAUCCGUUCCGAGAAUGAAAAUCCUCGUACUUCUCUUAUUAGGGAGGUCUAUGCAUUUCUUGAUCAAUAUGGUUAUAUAAAUGUUGGAGUUGCCUCUCAAAAGGUGAACGUUGAGAGCAGUGCAAGACACUGUUAUAAACUUGUAAAAGAAAAAGGAUUCGAGGAAAGUUCUACAGCUUCGUUGGCCGGCUCUGAAGAUGGCGUUUCUUUUAUUGUUGGUCAGGCUAAAAUGUCAUAUGCUUCUAUGGAUGAUAAUGAUGGUCUAGUAAAGGAUUUUGAAGACCUGACAACUGAAGCUACAGAAGGCACCAUGCUUGUUAAUGAAGCGAUGAUGGAUUCAUCAAACAUGGCACAACAUGAAAGAAAAAAUUAUGAUGACCUGGAAAAUGUUGGGAUUCAGGAUGGCGACAGUGGAAUUAUACAUUUCAAUGCUAACAGUUCUGUUCCUUUGUUUAAGCUUCCCGAUUGUAGAUUGACUUCUCUUGUUGCUACAAAGCAAAACAAUGAAUCUAAAUGUGUUAAACAUGCCUUAGGUGAUACUCUGCAGUCUGAUUUAGAGACUAGAAAGAGAGUGAUUAUCAUUGGUGCUGGCCCUGCUGGGCUAACUGCUGCUCGCCACUUGAAUCGUCAGGGGUUUACUGUAACUGUGCUUGAGGCUAGGAAUAGGAUAGGAGGUCGGGUAUUUACAGACCACUCAUCUCUUUCUGUCCCUGUAGAUCUUGGUGCUAGCAUUAUCACAGGUGUUGAGGCUGAUGUGGCCACUGAGAGAAGACCAGAUCCUUCCUCGUUGGUUUGCGCUCAGUUGGGCCUUGAAUUGUCGGUGUUAAACAGCGACUGCCCACUUUAUGACACAGUGACUGGACAAAAAGUUCCUGCAGAUAUGGAUGAAGCAUUGGAAGCUGAAUACAACAGUCUUCUUGAUGACAUGGUACUGGUUGUUGCUCAGAAAGGUGAACAAGCAAUGAAAAUGUCUCUUGAAGACGGUUUAGAAUACGCCCUUAAGAUUCGCCGCACGGGACACUCUAAAGGCAGUGAAGAAACUAAGCAAAGUAAUUCUGCAGAUCGUCCAUUUGAUUCCAAAAGGGAUGGUGCUAUGGAACAAAAUUUUGAUGAGAUUUUGGAUCCUCGUGAGAGGAGGGUUAUGGAUUGGCACUUUGCUCAUUUAGAGUAUGGCUGUGCUGCUUUGCUUAAAGAAGUUUCUCUUCCUUAUUGGAAUCAAGACGACGUGUAUGGAGGAUUUGGGGGACCUCAUUGUAUGAUCAAAGGAGGUUAUAGCACUGUUGUUGAGUCUCUCGGGGAAGGGCUUGGUAUUCACUUGAACCACGUCGUAACAAAUGUGUCAUAUGGUAUCAAGGAACCUAGCAAGAAUAAUAAAGUCAAAGUUUCUACAUUGAAUGGCAAUGAGUUUUUUGGAGAUGCUGUCCUCAUUACUGUCCCACUUGGCUGUUUGAAGGCCAAAACUAUACAGUUCUCCCCCUCUUUGCCGGAGUGGAAAUGUUCUUCCAUUCAGCGUCUUGGCUUUGGAGUUCUCAAUAAAGUGAUUUUGGAAUUUCCUACUGUGUUUUGGGAUGAUGCGGUGGACUACUUUGGGGCAACAGCUGAGGAGAGAAGCAAAAGAGGUCACUGCUUCAUGUUCUGGAAUGUCAAGAAAACAGUAGGGGCUCCUGUCCUUAUAGCAUUAGUGGUUGGUAAGGCAGCCAUUGAUGGUCAAAGUUUAAGCUCUUCUGAUCAUGUGAACCAUGCAUUGAAGGUUCUUCGAAAACUCUUUGGGGAGGCUUCAGUUCCUGAUCCUCUUGCGUAUGUUGUGACCGAUUGGGGCAGGGAUCCCUAUAGCUUUGGUGCUUACUCUUAUGUUGCUGUUGGAGCAUCAGGAGAAGAUUAUGAUAUCAUAGGAAAACCAGUUGAUAACUGCUUGUUUUUUGCUGGGGAAGCAACCUGCAAAGAGCACCCUGAUACUGUUGGUGGUGCAAUGAUGAGCGGACUACGGGAGGCUGUUCGCAUAAUUGACAUAUUGAACACCGGGAUUGAUAAUACUGCAGAGGUAGAGGCAUUGGAAGUUGCACAGGGACAAUUGGACACCGAAAGGAAUGAAGUUAGGGACAUAAUAAAGAGACUUGAUGCAGUUGAGCUUUCUAAAUUGUAUAAAAACUCUUUUGAGGGUGCUCCAAUCUUAACCCGGGAAGCUUUAUUAAGGGAAAUGUUCCUCAAUGUGAAAACCAAUGCUGGGCGUUUGCAUGUGGCCAAACAAUUGCUAAGUCUUCCUGUUGGAAACUUGAAGUCCUUUGCUGGAAGUAAGGAGGGGCUAACUGUUCUCAACUCCUGGAUACUGGACUCGAUGGGCAAGGAUGGUACCCAACUUUUGAGGCAUUGUUUGCGUCUUCUUGUGCGUGUGUCGACUGAUCUAGGUGCUGUACGCUUAUCAGGAAUGGGGAAAACAGUGAAGGAAAAAGUUUGUGUACAUACUAGCCGUGAUAUUCGAGCUAUAGCUAGUCAAUUGGUCAAUGUAUGGCUUGAACUUUUCCGCAAGGAAAAAGCUUCAAAUGGGGGAUUGAAGUUAUCAAGACAAGCAACUACUGUAGAAUUGUCAAAGAGAAAAUCUUUAAAGGAUUCAGCCUUGGGAAAGCCUCCUCUAAGUAUACAUCAGGGUACCGUUGAGAAUAAAGGAGGCUUGCUGAAUCCUCUAUCUGCCGGAAGCAAUUCACCUUCCAACACACAUGCGAAGAAAUUGCACAGCAAACAAGGAAGACAACAAUCAGCAUGUGACUCGAGGCAUGAUGUCUGUUCUUCUAGGUCCCAAGGUUCAAUAGACAAAAUACCUACUAAGGAGGAAAAUAAUCACUAUGCUAUGUCUGAAGAAGAAAAGGCUGCUGUAGCUGCUGCAGAAGCUGCCCGUACUAAAGCAAUUGCUGCUGCUAAGGCAUAUGCCUCUGCAGAAGCUAGGUGCAGUACACUGUUACAGCUACCGAAGAUACCUUCAUUCCAUAAAUUUGCUAGACGGGAACAGUAUUCACAAAAUGAUGAGUGUGAUAGUAGAAAAAAGUUGUCUGGUGGUUUUUUUGGAAGGCAAGAUUGUGUUUCUGAGAUCGAUUCUAGGAAUUGCAGAGUUAGGGACUGGUCUGUUGAUUUUUCCACUGCUUGUGUUAAUCUUGAUAAUUCUAAAAUACCAGUUGACAACCUCUCACAAAGGAGUCAUUCAAAUGAGAUCGCCAGCCAUUUGAAUUUUGGAGAGCGUUCAGGAGAAAGUGCUGCCGUGGACAGCAAUCUAUAUACAAAAGCUUGGAUCGACACAGCUGGUGAUGGGGUAGUAAAAGACCAUCUUGCCAUAGAGAGAUGGCAAGAUCAAGCAGCUGAAGCUGAUUCUUAUUUUUCUAAUCAAAGCAUUCAUUUGAAGGAUGAGGAGGAUUCAAAUGCCUAUUCAAGGUUACCCAGCUGGAAACAUGAUGGUGUAGCAAAUGAAAGUUCUGUUUCCCAGGUUACUGUAAAUAAGGAGGAGGCCAGCAAAGGUCAUUCUCGAGGAGCAGAUCAUAUUAAACAGGCUGUUGUUGACUAUGUUGGAUCACUACUUUUGCCCCUUUAUAAGGCUAGGAAGCUAGACAAGGAUGGAUACAAGGCAAUAAUGAAGAAAAGUGCAACAAAGGUCAUGGAGCAAGCAACGGAUGCAGAAAAAGCCAUGACUGUUCGUGAGUUUCUAGAUUUUAAGCGAAGGAAUAAGAUUCGCUCCUUUGUGGAUAUAUUGAUUGAGAGACAUAUGGCAACAAGACCGGGUAGAAAAUCAUAAUAUUUUUUAGUUGCAUGGCCCGUACUUUUUGUGCUUCUACACAAGGUUACUCGAGUCUGGUUCUUCUUACAAUUCUCGGUUUGGGUGGUCGUGAAUAAAUUCUCAUAUGAGCAUUUCAAGCUUCCAAUAUAAAUGAUCCAGAAGCUGCAAUAGAAGAAACUUAUCAAAGUUCAUCGGUCCAAAUCAAGUGGGCUCUGGAAAAUUGCUGUCUUGGCAACCAUGAACAGAAUAAAGGUGACAGAUAACAGUUGAUCGAUCCGAAUCAAGUGGACUCUGGAAUUUUGUUGUCCUGGCAAGUGACAAUCAUGAACAGAAUACUAAAUUAUAAUGGUGGAUUAUCUGCAAACUCGGUGCAUACAUCAGUUGGAUCUUUUGGGUGACCUGCAUUGGCAGAUUUGAUGAUGAUAAGAGAUUGCAGCCAUCUGUCCUUAUUACUUCAUCUUUCAUUGAGGUUUACGCCUCCAUGGCUGAAAUCUUAGACCCCAUUUUUAUUAAAGGGGUUUCCAAUGGGAAACACUGACCUUAUCAAUUCUUCUAAUUGUACAGCGUAGGAUUGUUCUUAGUGAUGAAAAACAUACAUAAUCCAUUUCCAUGUUCUUCGAGAAACACUUUUCUUCUUUAUGUUUUAUAUCAAUCUCUGACUCUUUUCAUUCUCCAAAGUGGGAAGAAUGUCACUUUUGUAAAGAUACUUUGUUGCACUAAUCAUUUUCUUCUCAUUCGUGAUGCAUGCGAGUACCCUUCCUAUUUAUAGUCGAGUCAGCUUCCAAGUUUGUGCUUCAAAAAAUUAAAUAGAAAAUUCACAUCCUUAGCAACUGAGCCUGCUACUUAGCUAUAAUUAUGGUUCAUAGGAUUGUGCCAUGAGAUGCCCAACAGCACAGGCUGAGAGAUUUUGUGAAUCACUGAUGGGAUACAUACUUGCCCGGUGAUUUGGUGUUCUAUUGCAACUCUUACUUUCACAACCAAUUUUAAGACUGUCUCCACACCAGCAAUAUGUUAAUUGGAUUAAAAAAGUAUUGCUGCCAGGGAAAUUAUAUUCCGUUGGCCAUAUCUAGGGGUGAGUCCAUUUUUGACAUUUUCAACAAUUACCCAUCAUAUUGGUUAGAUACCUAUUGUAAAUGAUGGUUACCGAGAAUUUGCGUGGUGUUUACUAGUCGAAUGUCCCUAAUUGUCGAAUGAGACCCUAUUAUAAAUGCUGGUUACCGAGAAUUUUCGUGGUGACCCUAAUUUUUAGCGAAAUUGUUUUGAAGUGCCUGCAUACACCCAAUGGAAAAUUAUCCUUAUUUCUA